GGCACUGUGGCUUAGUUGGUGAAAGCACCUGUUCAGUAAAUAGGGGAGCCUGGGUUCAAAUCCCAGCAGUGCCU
rnacentral:tRNA from 2 species